rnacentral:rRNA from 1 species
UGGCCUGUAUAGUAUCAGUUAGUUGGUGAGGUAAUGGCUCACCAAGACAAUGACGCUUAACUGGUUUGAGAGGAUGAUCAGUCACACUGGAACUGAGACACGGUCCAGACUCCUACGGGAGGCAGCAGUGGGGAAUAUUGCACAAUGGGGGAAACCCUGAUGCAGCAACGCCGCGUGGAGGAUGACACAUUUCGGUGCGUAAACUCCUUUUAUAAUAGAAGUGACGGUAUAUUAUGAAUAAGCUCCGGCUAACUCCGUGCCAGCAGCCGCGGUAAUACGGGGGGGGCAAGCGUUACUCGGAAUCACUGGGCGUAAAGAGCAUGUAGGCCGAUAGAUAAGUUGGAAGUGAAAUCCUAUGGCUUAACCAUAGAACUGCUUCCAAAACUGUCUAUCUAGAAUAUGGGAGAGGUAGAUUUUCUGGUGUAGGGGUAAAAUCCGUAGAG